rnacentral:rRNA from 1 species
CCUACGGGUGGCUGCAGUGAGGAAUAUUGGUCAAUGGGCGCGAGCCUGAACCAGCCAAGUAGCGUGAAGGAUGACUGCCCUACGGGUUGUAAACUUCUUUUAUAAAGGAAUAAAGUGAGGCACGUGUGCCUUUCCGUGUGUACUUUAUGAAUAAGGAUCGGCUAACUCCGUGCCAGCAGCCGCGGUAAUACGGAGGAUUCGAGCGUUAUCCGGAUUUAUUGGGUUUAAAGGGUGCGUAGAUGGGUUGUUAAGUCAGUUGUGAAAGGUUGCGGCUCAACCGUAAAAUUGCAAUUGAUACUGGCAGCCUUGAGUACAGGUGAGGUAGGCGGAAUGCGUGGUGUAGCGGUGAAAUGCUUAGAUAUCACGAAGAACUCCGAUUGCGAAGGCAGCAUACUGAACGGCAACUGACAUUGAUGCUCGAAAGUGUGGGUAUCAAACAGGAUUAGAUACCCCAGUAGUC